ensembl:lncRNA
AUUUUGGAAGGAGAAUACAGACUGUGUACUUAGAGGGAUGGUCCAGCUGCAGUCAGGCCAGUAUGAGUGUAACCAAUCAAACUGAAGAAGACAUGAAGAAGACUUUAAACAUGAUUAUGGAUAUUAAUGUAUUUAUAUUAAAAUAAAUGUGUUUUAGUCUUCUGUGUCUGAAGUGACUUCCAGCUGGAAGAAUAGUGUAAAAAAAACACACAAAAAAAUCAAACAAAUUUAAAAGUGAUGUGACAUGCAGCCAAGUAUUGUGACCCAUACUCAGAAUUUGUGCUCUGCAUUUAACCCAUCCAAAGUGCACACACACAGCAGUGAACACGUGAAAACACACCCGGAGCAGUGGGCAGCCAUUUAUGCUGCGGCGCCCAGGGAAAUUAUUAGUAUGAAAGAAAAAUGUUGUAAUGGUGAAAAUGAGUUGUAUGAUUGUGUUAUAGUUAUUACAUACGUAAAUAAAUGACUCCUUACAUCAUUAGAGUAGGUGAGAGGUUUGUGUUUCUUGUACAACCAGUCUGUAGUUUGGUUUUGGUUUCAUUUCUUUCAAGUAUUUAACACAGAUUCUUUUACUCUAGUGUAGUGUUUUAUCAAUACAAGCUGAAGUUGCAAGCACAUCUUUCCAAGGCUUUGCCAACAUGGGAACACAAGGGCAAAAAAAGGAUGAGAAUUCCUUCAAAGUUUGUAGUUCGAUUGGACCUGUUUCUUCUUUUGUAGGAAAUGGUGCCACAGCUACUUGUGUUGUUGCCACAAAGAAACUGAAUGUUUCUUCUUUUGUUAAAGGAGGAGCAUGUGCAGCUUUGGGUGGUACUGCAAAAGAUGCAACAUCCUUCAUCCUUAACUCAGCCACAGGCUGCAACUCCACAUCCAGUGGUCAGAAGUGAUUCGACGGGAAACCAGUGUUGGAGAUUCAGCAGCAUUAACAUGUACACGAUAUGAAAGCAUAAGUGAAAAUGCAUUUAUCUCUUUUGCCACCGUCUGUGAUAAGAGCCUCAAUAAAGACUCAUUCAACUAGACA